ACCCAGAGCGUACACGCUGGGACCCGAAAGAUGGUGAACUAUGCCUGGUCAGGACGAAGUCAGGGGAAACCCUGAUGGAGGUCCGUAGCGAUUCUGACGUGCAAAUCGAUCGUCGGAACUGGGUAUAGGGGCGAAAGACUAAUCGAACCAUCUAGUAGCUGGUUCCCUCCGAAGUUUCCCUCAGGAUAGCUGGCGCUCGUCGAGCGCGAGUCUCAUCCGGUAAAGCGAAUGAUUAGAGGCAUUGGGGUCGGGACGCCUACGUAAUUGUGGCGGCCCUAAUCGCUCCGCUAGUUAGAUACCGUCGAGCGUGCCGGUCGGGAAGCCGCGCGGUCCGCUCGGCACGACAGCGAGUGUCGUCCGUGCGGGCUCCCGCGCGAUCCUCAGACCGGGCCCGACGGGUCGCGACGUCCUACUCGCGGAGACGUGCACGCGCUCGCAACCGGGACGGCGGUCGCAUGCGACGGGCGAGUACGACCCUC
rnacentral:rRNA from 1 species